CAUAUUAGUGACUUCCUUCUUUUAAAGGACAUCGAACAAGUUUGAUCCUCUUAUCGAUGAGUGGAACCUCUUUCUCCAUAACUUGAAUCUGCACUGGCCAUCUGGCUUGCUUUGGCCUAAAGAAUGUGGGCCAUUUCUGAGUCCAGGCUUCAAGAGGACUUUGCAUUUCCUUUUUCUCUCUUGACACACUGUUGAAGUAUAAUGUAAAUGAGCCAGGGCACUCUUAGAAGGGUAACUUGUUAUUCGAGAGGAAUGUCCAAGAGGACUGGGAUUUAAUAAUUAUGCAAGGAGAAGAAAUGUGGAUUUGUGUUGACAAUAGACAACGGGUGAUA
rnacentral:lncRNA from 10 species